rnacentral:tRNA from 1 species
AGGCAAUUAGUUUAAGAAGAACCUUUGAUUUCGGCUCAAAAGCUUGUGGUUAAAGUCCACAAUUGCCUA